UCGGAUUUCAGUGUAAUCGGAAUUAUAUCCAAUAAAAUUUCUGGGCAAUCGGAUUCUAAGUAAUCGGAAUUCUAGGUAAUCGGGAUCUAAGUCACCGGUAAUCUAACUCAUUGGUCUACACCUAAUAGACGUCUUCCCA